CAGUCGCCGCGGUAAUACAGAGGGUGCAAGCGUUAAUCGGAAUUACUGGGCGUAAAGCGCGCGUAGGUGGUGGUUUAAGUCCGUUGUGAAAGCCCUGGGCUCAACCUGGGAAUUGCAGUGGAUACUGGGUCACUAGAGUGUGGUAGAGGAUAGUGGAAUUUCCGGUGUAGCAGUGAAAUGCGUAGAGAUCGGAAGGAACAUCUGUGGCGAAGGCGACUAUCUGGGCCAACACUGACACUGAGGCACGAAAGCGUGGGGAGCAAACAGGAUUAGAUACCCCUGUAGUCCCUGUCUCUUAUAC
rnacentral:rRNA from 1 species